ensembl:snRNA U4 U4 spliceosomal RNA
AGCUUUGUGCAGUGGCAAUAUCAUAGCCAAUGAGGUUUAUCUGAGGCAUGAUUAUUGCUAAUUAAAAGGUGAAAACAAAAUGUAAGAUAAUAAAUUUUUCUUCACAAAUUUCUCUAAAUUACUGACCCAA